rnacentral:snoRNA from 1 species
UUGCUUCCAAUUCAGCCGACUGUGCUCUUUUCCCCUUGGGGGCCCAGGGUGCAGUAGCUGCAAACAGCAGCCUGUUGCCUGUACAGGUUACCCUAAGGUACCUUGAAGACAGCC